AGAGAGAGAGAGAGAGAGAGAGAGAGAAUAUCACUGCUCAUUUGCUUUUUACUCUCAAUGGAAUAUGUUACUGUCGACGAAGUAGGUUAAAAAAUACUAUAAAACAUUCGUGUAAUAAUGUUUUAAUGGCUUUGCAGUGAGGGUUAAAUGCUAGUUAAAGAAAAUGAUAUGUAGGUCAAGAGAACCAUUCACUCUCACACGGUAUUUUUCUUUGCAACCUAACUUCCUGGAUUCAGUAUUGUGGGGGAGGUAUAUAUACGUCAAGGUUAUCUUUAUUAUUACUUUUUCUUGUUUGUCCUUCAUGCAAGAUCGAGCCAAGAACCACUUUUUCAUGGUACAGUGUGAAAAUUCCUUAACAGUACUGCGUUUAUCAUGAGAGAGAGAGAGAGAGAGAGAGAGAGAGAGAGAGAGAAAAAAAAAAAGUGCUGCUGGUCUGGCAACACUGCAUGGGUAGAUUCUUUAUAUUUUUUCCAAGAUUUUUUUUUCUCUUCUGGAAAUCCUGCAUUGCCAUACCUCGCCGUGCAAUGCAUACAAGAACAACUACAUGUAAAUCAACCUUAAAAGAAUCAAAAGGGACCGGCCGGCAACGCAGCACCUUAAUAGAACAUAAUAAAAUCCAGGCAGGCAUUAGAGAACAUGAUAGCAGACGAAAGGUUAAACUAAAAAGUGGCAGCUCAAGUGGCUCUACCCCGCCCCCUGGCUCGACCAAUGGCGUUGCAACAUUUCAAGAGGAGCCGCCCGCUGAUUGGCCAAUCCGUGGGCGUCUCUUGCUGCGUCUGCGAUAUGAACAGGGGAGGGACAGGGGAAGGGGAAUGGGACGGGACACUGCAUUGGGGGACUCCUUAAUAGGCUGCUGGACUCAGUGGACUGACGUAGGAGGACUUGUUGUUACGCAAGCUCAGGGAUGCGUGGUGACGUGAAAUAAUGCUUUGCGAUAAACUUAACUGGCGGGGCAUGCGUGGGAUGUGUUAGAGAGUUAGGAAAUAUACAUUAUACACAAAUUGUAGCUUCCUACGUAGAUUGAUAUGAUGUUAGGGAUGAGAAGCAAUAUGACGUUUGAAAGAGAAUAGUGGUAAUGAGUUUUGUUAUGCGUUUUAUUGAAAGAAUUGACGUGGAGGAGAGGGUAUUAGGUACAAAGUGAAGAUACUUUAUUAUUAUUAUUCAUGGGUGAUUAUCCCGUUCAAGGUGCAGAAGUCGAGUAAAACUAUCACUAGCAUCACACAGCAGUCCAUGAAAUCCCGACAACUUCUACGAGAGGCUUUUCAAACAGGCGAAUUGAGGUGGCGAUGCGUUUAACAAUACGGGGUGUAACACAAGUCUGGUAAUGAAAUGAUAAAAGAACGAGACGAGUUUGUGAGUAAUGAGGUGGAUGGAGAAGCGUGGAUGAGUGAGUGAGUUGUGGAGAGAAGAGAAAAUGAAUACUAUACACGAAAGAUUAGACAACUGACGGUGGAAAAAUAAGAAAAGGAGACGAGUAAGUUGGAGUAACAAGUCUUUAAUAGGUUGAACGGAGAAGCGUGGACGAGUGCAUGGUUUGAACGUUAGGGAGAAAGAAAAAGUGUUGUGUGUUUUGCAUUGGAGACAGAGAUGAAUGUUUGAGAGAGAAAAAAGGGAGA